UUACCAUGGUGCUUUUAAAAGCAGAGCCUGGAGACGCAGAGGCUCCUCAAGGAGAGGUGAGAUAAAUCACGGCCCACUGUAGGCACGGGCAGCCGCCACCCCUGUCGGAACAUGACAGGGAUCCUCGUUCCUUUCAUCUCCAGGAUGCAGCGGGUGGCCUGCCUCCCCGUUCCAGCGUCUGAGAGGAGCUAUGCCUAUUUUGCACCAUGAACCUCCAAACUCAGAAGUCUCUGAGGAACCCUGAACAGGAGAAAAUGUGGCUGAAAAUGAAGUGGAAAAUCAGUGUGAUAACCAAAUCAAGAUCACGCCUUGCUGGGACCCUGUCACACUAAAGCUUCUAGAGCAUAAUACUUUUUAAAAUCUGUAAUAGCACCUGGAGUUUUUUCCCGUGCUUUCUACAAUUCAGCUCUUUUAGUCUGCUCUGAACCCUUGGUGGCGGCGGCUCACUGCUCAUGAACAGAUCCCCUCCUGGGGGGCUCCAGUGGCCCCCCGCAACGGUCCCAUUCCUGAGCUGUUUAUCCUCACCCUGGGGGGCCCCUCAGAUCACCCAGGCUCACUGCUCUGGAUGAGGCACAGGUGAGAAGGGCUGUGGGUGAGGCAGGGAGGACUUUGAGCCACCGUCCCCUCCUGGAAGUGUAUCCUAGGCCAUUUUCAGGUGUACAGCUCUCAGGGGAGACAAGAAUGCAUUGUUCCACCUGGUACGAUGGGCUGUGGGCCACAGAAGCACAUUCGCAAACCUCCACUUAGGAGAGCCACGUUCAGCAAAGCAGGAGAAGGCGGCAGAGGCUGGGAUGGGGAGACCAUCUGUGAGUGUGGUUCCCCCUUCCUGCCAGGUCUCCCAGGAGGCCAGGUGGCGGCUGCAGCCGGUGGCAGACACUCCCUUCCUGGGGUGCUGGCUGCAGCCGGCUGCCAUGGGACUCCAACCAGGGCUCUCCUGGGGCUCUGUUGACUCAACACAUCAUCUGACGCCACCCCGGCAGGCCCUCUGGGUGUCAGGUGCCAGUGAGACGGGUUGGGGAGGCUGGGACGGUGUCCAGACUGCCGCCUCUGCCCCAGAGCUCGUUUCCAUGGUGCCGUUCCCAGCUCUGAGCUCUCCUCAUUCACAUCACGAAGGCAGGGAUCGUGAGCUCUAGGGGUUGUCUGCCUCCAGUGAUUAAUCGGUACAAUUCUCCAUGGAGGAGGAAGAGAAGAGGAAGGAAAGCUGCAGAUGAAAGGGAAUUAAGCGUCUCGUGGUGGAAACAAAUGUAUUGGCUGCAUCCUUUCAAAGACAAUCUGGAAUCUCAAACCUAGGGUUUAUCUCUGCCCCUCGAGAACAACAACAAUUCUGGGAGUUCAGGGCUGUGAUAGAAAACGACAGCAUCACACCUGAAUUGCUGCCAGUGUUUUUAAUAGAGAGGUAGCCACUCACCCCGAGGGAGGUGGGAAGGGGGCCCUCUUGCUGGUGAGCUGGGAAUUCCUAACACUUCCUGUGUCUGACGCACAGUCACUACCACUGGGAGAGCUCGCUGCGGAGGGAGAACUCAGCCCUCUGUUUGCAUAAUCUGAGGGUCUGGAAAGCCCCCCCGCCCGCUUCCAGAUACCUCAUCUACUUGACAAACUUCCAAGACGCCCUGCCUCCCCUUUCUACACAUCGCUCUUCCCUGGAAGAUUCCUGCUUUGUUAUUCUUGGUCAAUCUGCAGAAGGCAGGCUGGACACUCCACAAAGGACCCAAGAGAGGAGCAGCCAUUAGGAAGGUGCGAGGCUGGGAGGGAAGAACAGGGCCAGGGUUCCGGAUUCAGUUGUACCACAUCAUACAUGUUGCCUCCAUGUAUUUUUCUCUUUGGUGUCAGGUUUCUAGAAUCAGUGCUUGAAAAAUGAUAUCUGAACACGGUGCUUAGGGGAGCCGGGUUUUUUCCACUUAUCUUCUGAUUCACUCCACAGCUUCCACAUCUAUUGUCACCUAAGCUCAUCGUCUGUGAAGCCCUCACUGGUUCCUAGAGUGAAUCAUUCCUCCUUUUCAUGCACUUAGCACAUUCCAACGUUAUCAAAUGAUGGUGUGCUCGGUUGUUUCUUGAUGCAUCUCAAUCCUUCCACUAAGCGUGAAUGGCCGUGAGUCUCACUUAGCGCUAUCCCACAGGGCCUGGCGCACUGUCCCAGCUCAAGAAAGAUUUGCGGAGCUUGCUUUAUGCAUAGUGCUCAACAAGUAGACAAAUCUAACUUUAAAUCUUAAGUUCUUUAAAAUAUACCGUUAGGAAAAUGAAACAAGAAACACGGCAGAGGGAAAACACAAUUAUCCCUCUGUGUCUGCAGGGAAUUGAUUCCAGAACCCCUCUCGGGCACCAAAGCCUAGGAUGCUCAAGUCCCCGAUAGAAAAUGGUGUAAUGAGUGCAUAGGACCUAUACACACCCUCCUGUAUGCUUUAAAUUAUCUCCGGAUUACUUAUAAUACUCAAUAUAACGGAAAUGCCAUGCAAAUAAUUAUUAUGCUGUGCUGGUUUUUCAUCUGUAUUUUUAUUGUUGUAUUAUUAUUUUUAUUAUUAUUUCCCCUGAAUAUUUUUGAUCUGCGGUUGGUUGAAGCUGAGGAGGUGAAACCUGCAGAUAAUGGAAGGCUGACCAUAUUGCAAAACACAUCUAUGAUAAAGGACCUGUAGCAGAGUAUAUAAAGAACUGUCAAAACUCAGCAACAAGAAAAAAAAAAAUUCUCAGUAAAAAAAAAAAAAAAAGUAGACAGAAGAUUUAAACAGAGACUUCAGCAAAGAAGACAUACAGAUGACAAAUAACGAUAUGACGUUCACCAUCAUUAAUCUUUA